AUUGAACGCUGGCGGCAUGCUUUACACAUGCAAGUCGAACGGUAACAGGGUGCUUGCACCGCUGACGAGUGGCGAACGGGUGAGUAAUGCGUCAGAACGUGCCGAGUAGUGGGGGAUAACGCAGCGAAAGUUGUGCUAAUACCGCAUACGUACUGAGGUAGAAAGUGGGGGACCUUCGGGCCUCACGCUAUUCGAGCGGCCGGCGUCUGAUUAGCUAGUAGGUGAGGUAAAGGCUCACCUAGGCGACGAUCAGUAGCGGGUCUGAGAGGAUGAUCCGCCACACUGGGACUGAGACACGGCCCAGACUCCUACGGGAGGCAGCAGUGGGGAAUUUUGGACAAUGGGCGCAAGCCUGAUCCAGCCAUGCCGCGUGCGGGAAGAAGGCCUUCGGGUUGUAAACCGCUUUUGUCAGGGAAGAAAAGCUUUGGGCUAAUACCCCGAGGUCACGACGGUACCUGAAGAAUAAGCACCGGCUAACUACGUGCCAGCCGCCGCAGUAA
rnacentral:rRNA from 1 species